UUUUCCUUUUUAAACCAGCUUGAAGCUUGUUAAUGUCAAGACUACCAGUGAGGCACUCAGAUGAAGAGGUGGGGGGAAAGGCAGGGAGGAAAAAUAAAAUAGGAUGGAAGUGUCAGAAAACGUGGCAUGAAAGCAAAGUGUUCGGAAGAGGGCGAGCCCUCUCAUUUUGGCAGCUAUUUUUAGGGCUUCUUUCCUCUCAAGUGAGACUAUCAGGAGGAGUCCACAUUUUUCAAGAGAGCAGCGGGACGCUAAGCGGAUGGUUGUUGAACAUGGGAACUGGAGACCACGGCUUCACUGCAGAAGCUGUGGAAACGAAGCCUGAAAGUACAUCCUGUGAGACAUCUGAAAAGCGCUUACGGUGCCCUGAAGUGGAAACCACUGGGACCAGGACUGAGGCCGAACCAAACCACUGGUGCCAAAACGAGGAAAGAAAAUGUGCCCAUUGUUGCAGCCACUGUGUUAAUCCAUCUCA